GUUGGAGCUCAGUGGUAGAGCACUUGCCUAGCACAUGGAGGUACCGGGUUCAAUCCUCGGCACCACA
rnacentral:tRNA from 1 species